rnacentral:rRNA from 1 species
UACGGGGGGGGCAAGCGUUGUUCGGAAUUACUGGGCGUAAAGGGCGCGUAGGCGGCCCGCUAAGUCGAACGUGAAAUCCCCGGGCUCAACCCGGGAACUGCGUCCGAUACUGGCAGGCUUGAAUCCGGGAGAGGGAUGUGGAAUUCCAGGUGUAGCGGUGAAAUGCGUAGAUAUCUGGAGGAACACCGGUGGCGAAGGCGGCAUCCUGGACCGGUAUUGACGCUGAGGCGCGAAAGCGUGGGGAGCAAACAGG